rnacentral:rRNA from 1 species
UACGUAGGGUGCGAGCGUUGUCCGGAAUUAUUGGGCGUAAAGAGCUUGUAGGCGGUUUGUCGCGUCUGCUGUGAAAAUCCGGGGCUCAACCCCGGACUUGCAGUGGGUACGGGCAAUACUUGAGUGCUGUAGGGGAGACUGGAAUUCCUGGUGUAGCGGUGAAAUGCGCAGAUAUCAGGAGGAACACCAAUGGCGAAGGCAGGUCUCCGGGCAGUUACUGACGCUGAGGAGCGAAAGCAUGGGUAGCGAACAGGAUUAGAUACCCCCGUA